rnacentral:rRNA from 1 species
AGUGAACGCUGGCGGUAGGCCUAACACAUGCAAGUCGAACGGCAGCACAGUAAGAGCUUGCUCUUACGGGUGGCGAGUGGCGGACGGGUGAGGAAUACAUCGGAAUCUACUUUUUCGUGGGGGAUAACGUAGGGAAACUUACGCUAAUACCGCAUACGACCUACGGGUGAAAGCAGGGGAUCUUCGGACCUUGCGGGAUUGAAUGAGCCGAUGUCGGAUUAGCUAGUUGGCGGGGUAAAGGCCCACCAAGGCGACGAUCCGUAGCUGGUCUGAGAGGAUGAUCAGCCACACUGGAACUGAGACACGGUCCAGACUCCUACGGGAGGCAGCAGUGGGGAAUAUUGGACAGUGGGCGCAAGCCUGAUCCAGCCAUACCGCGUGGGUGAAGAAGGCCUUCGGGUUGUAAAGCCCUUUUGUUGGGAAAGAAAAGCAGCAGGUUAAUACCCCGCUGUUCUGACGGUACCCAAAGAAUAAGCACCGGCUAACUUCGUG